AUCACUUCUCAGCCUUUUAGCUAAGAUCAAGUGUAGUAUCUGUUCUUAUCAGUUUAACAGAGAAACCUGUGGUCCAGGAGAUGCCCAGUGGAUAAAGCCUUGGACUCUCAAGCAUGAGGUCCAAGUUUGAUGCUCUGGUGAGCUCUCUCCCUCUUUCUCAUUCAUAAAUGCAUCUUUCAAAUCAAU
rfam:Erinaceus europaeus unplaced genomic scaffold scaffold00291, whole genome shotgun sequence